rnacentral:pre_miRNA from 1 species
GUAAGAAUUACCUGGGGAAUUCAAUAAAAUGCAGAUUCUGAUUCAAUACUCUUGGGUUGGGCCUCAGAGUCUGCAUUUCUAACCAGCUCCCAAGUGAUGCCAGU